GUCGCCGUGGCGUAGUGGUCAGCGCGCUGACCGACUAAGUGGUGCGCCGUGGUUCGAAUCCCGGCGGCGACA
rnacentral:tRNA from 1 species